CCUACGGGCGGCAGCAGUGAGGAAUAUUGGUCAAUGGACGAGAGUCUGAACCAGCCAAGUAGCGUGAAGGAUGACUGCCCUAUGGGUUGUAAACUUCUUUUAUAAAGGAAUAAAACGAGGCACGUGUGCCUUUUCGCAUGUACUUUAUGAAUAAGGAUCGGCUAACUCCGUGCCAGCAGCCGCGGUAAUACGGAGGAUCCGAGCGUUAUCCGGAUUUAUUGGGUUUAAAGGGGGCGUAGAUGGGUUGUUAAGUCAGUUGUGAAAGUUUGCGGCUCAACCGUAAUAUUGCAAUUGAUACUGGGAGUCUUGAGUACAGUUGAGGUAGGCGGAAUUCGUGGUGUAGCGGUGAAAUGCAUAGAUAUCACGAAGAACCCCGAUUGCGAAGGCAGCUUACUAAACUGUGACUGACAUUGAUGCUCGAAAGUGUGGGUAUCAAACAGGAUUAGAUACCCUAGUAGUC
rnacentral:rRNA from 1 species